CUGUUAGAUAGCAUGGCUGUCCUAAUUAAAUAGUAUACAGCGAAACUGCGAAUGUCUCUCUAUAACACUUAUAGUUUAUUCUAUAGAAAAAUUACGUGGAUAAGCGUGGUAAAUCUAUGGCUAAUACAUGCGCAAAGGCCCGACCCUGAAGGGCUGUGUUUGUUAUAUCUAGCCAUCAUUUGGUGAAUCAUAGUAGCUGAUUCGACCGUGCGUUAGAGCGGUAAAUCGUUCAUGUUUCUGCCCUAUCAACUUUCCAUGGCAUUGUAUUGUACUACCAUGGAAGUCACGGGUAACGGAGAAUCACGGUUCGGUUCCGGAGAGGGAGCCUGAGAAACGGCUACCACAUCUAGGGAAGGAAGCAGGCGCGUAAAUUCCCCAGUCCCGAUUCGGGGAGGGAGUGACAAUAAAUAACAACUCGAGAGGUUUACCUCUACCAAAUUGCAAUGAGAACAAUCCCAAACGCUUAACGAUAAACGAUUGGAGGGCACGUCUGGUGCCCU
rnacentral:rRNA from 1 species